rnacentral:rRNA from 1 species
CUUUAUUGAGAAAGUGAAAAUGCAUACUAGGAGUAUAUAUCCCGAAAUAUCCUCUUUUAGAGUGGGAAUUUUUAGGUUUAAGCUAUGAUUAGGUUUGACUUAGUUCUUAGUUAGAUGUGGAUAAAGAUAAGUGCCAGUAAUCACGGUUAAACUUACCAUGUUACAUUUCUAAUUUGUGAAUUUUUUMUUAUGUAAGCCUUUAGGUCUAAUGUAUGGUUUACAUAAAAGAAAGAACCAGGAGAAACGGAUUAGUCCCCGUGUAUAGUAUAAAGGUAACAGAGUACWGUUUAAAAUGUAAUCAAUUAGGCGGUUCUUCUUUYACAGGGGAACUUGUUAUUUUGUUGAUAAUCCCCGUUAKAUCUAAUACAAAUAUYAUUUUGUGUAUGUCCGUUUAUAUUAGAUAAAAUAUCUUAGUAUUAGAUUUCAGGUCACCAUACUUUUGUUUGUAGAAUUUAUGAGUUACAAUAAUUUUUGUUAAGGAAGGUUGCUGAAAUGUGACACUGUUAAUGAGGACUUGUYAGUAAAAAGAGCAGAUUAUUUUGUUUUGAAUGGAACUGAAGGGAGCACUUACCGCCCGCCACCAAACAUGUAAAUGGUUGUAAGGCGUAACAAGGUAGAUGUUCCAGAAGGAGCGUCUGGUAUUGGUCACGURUUAAWGGUGUCAUAAUAGAGG